GACGAACGCUGGCGGCGUGCUUAACACAUGCAAGUCGAACGGAAAGGCCCUGCUUUUGUGGGGUGCUCGAGUGGCGAACGGGUGAGUAACACGUGAGUAACCUGCCUUUGACUUUGGGAUAACUUCAGGAAACUGGGGCUAAUACCGGAUAGGAGCUCCUGCUGCAUGGUGGGGGUUGGAAAGUUUCGGCGGUUGGGGAUGGACUCGCGGCUUAUCAGCUUGUUGGUGGGGUAGUGGCUUACCAAGGCUUUGACGGGUAGCCGGCCUGAGAGGGUGACCGGCAAGCUGGGGUCGGAAGGAGGGACCGGCCUCACACGGGGGGGAGGAGGGGGGAGUUUGGAACAGAGGGGGGGAGCAUGACGGAGCAACCCCGGGGGCGGGAGGGCGCCCUUCGGGUUGGAACCAGAUUUCGCCUGGAAGGGAGGGGAAGGAGGGGAAAGGGGUAAAAAGGCCCGGCUAAAUUCGGG
rnacentral:rRNA from 1 species